rnacentral:rRNA from 1 species
AACGAACGCUGGCGGCAGGCCUAACACAUGCAAGUCGAACGCCCCGCAAGGGGAGUGGCAGACGGGUGAGUAACGCGUGGGAACCUACCUUUCGGUGCGGAAUAACUUCGGGAAACCAAGGCUAAUACCGCAUACGCCCUACGGGGGAAAGAUUUAUCGCCGAUAGAUGGGCCCGCGUCGGAUUAGCUAGUUGGUGAGGUAAUGGCUCACCAAGGCUACGAUCCGUAGCUGGUCUGAGAGGAUGAUCAGCCACACUGGGACUGAGACACGGCCCAGACUCCUACGGGAGGCAGCAGUGGGGAAUAUUGGACAAUGGGCGCAAGCCUGAUCCAGCCAUGCCGCGUGAGUGAAGAGGGCCUUAGGGUUGUAAAGCUCUUUUAGUGGGGACGAUAAUGACGGUACCCACAGAAUAAGCCCCGGCUAACUUCGUGCCAGCCGCCGCCGUAA